AUUGAACGCUGGCGGCAGGCCUAACACAUGCAAGUCGAGCGGAUGAAGGGAGCUUGCUCCUGGAUUCAGCGGAGGACGGGUGUGUAAUGCCUAGGAAUCUGCCUGGUCGCGGGGGAUAACGUCCGGAAACGGGCGCUAUUACCGCAUACGUCCUGAGGGAGAACGUGGGGGAUCUUCGGACCUCACGCUAUCAGAUGAGCCUAGGUCGGAUUAGCUAGUUGGUGGGGUAAAGGCCUACCAAGGCGACGAUCCGUAACUGGUCUGAGAGGAUGAUCAGUCACACUGGAAGUGAGACACGGUCCAGACUCCUACGGGAGGCAGCAGUGGGGAAUAUUGGACAGUGGGCGAAAGCCUGAUCCAGCCAUGCCGCGUGUGUGAAGAAGGUCUUCGGAUUGUAAAGCACUUUAAGUUGGGAGGAAGGGCAGUAAGUUAAUACCUUGCUGUUUUGACGUUACCAACAGAAUAAGCACCGGCUAACUUCGUG
rnacentral:rRNA from 1 species